rnacentral:rRNA from 1 species
UACGAAGGGGGCUAGCGUUGCUCGGAAUCACUGGGCGUAAAGCGCACGUAGGCGGAUUGUUAAGUCAGGGGUGAAAUCCUGGAGCUCAACUCCAGAACUGCCCUUGAUACUGAUGGUCUCGAGUCCGGGAGAGGUGAGUGGAACUGCGAGUGUAGAGGUGAAAUUCGUAGAUAUUCGCAAGAACACCAGUGGCGAAGGCGGCUCACUGGCCCGGUACUGACGCUGAGGUGCGAAAGCGUGGGGAGCAAACAGG